AUGGGGGCAACCCCUAGUAAAGUGGCGUACGGGUGAGUAACACGUAGGUAAUCUACCCUAGAGUCUGGAAUAACCUGCCGAAAGGCGGGCUAAUACUGGAUAGAGCGACGGAAUCCGUAAUUGGGUUUUUCGGGAAAGGGAGCUCGCAAGAGCCCUUGCUCUAGGAUGAGCCUGCGUCCCAUUAGCUAGUUGGUGGGGUAAUGGCCCACCAAGGCUGUGAUGGGUAGCUGGUCUGAGAGGAUGAUCAGCCACACUGGAACUGAAACACGGUCCAGACUCCUACGGGAGGCAGCAGUGGGGAAUCUUGCGCAAUGGACGAAAGUCUGACGCAGCCACGCCGCGUGAGUGAAGAAGGCCUUCGGG
rnacentral:rRNA from 1 species